GACGAACGCUGGCGGCGUGCUUAACACAUGCAAGUCGAACGGAAAGGCCCUGCUUUUGUCGGGUGCUCGAGUGGCGAACGGGUGAGUAACACGUGAGUAACCUGCCCUUGACUUUGGGAUAACUUCAGGAAACUGGGGCUAAUACCGGAUAGGAGCUCCUGCUGCAUGGUGGGGGUUGGAAAGUUUCGGCGGUUGGGGAUGGACUCGCGGCUUAUCAGCUUGUUGGUGGGGUAGUGGCUUACCAAGGCUUUGACGGGUAGCCGGCCUGAGAGGGUGACCGGCCACAUUGGGACUGAGAUACGGCCCAGACUCCUACGGGAGGCAGCAGUGGGGAAUAUUGCACAAUGGGCGGAAGCCUGAUGCAGCAACGCCGCGUGCGGGAUGACGGCCUUCGGGCUGUAAACCGCUUUCGCCUGUGACGAAGCGUGAGUGACGGUAAUGGGUAAAGAAGCACCGGCUAACUACGUG
rnacentral:rRNA from 1 species